GAUUAAUUAUGUCUAGCAAAGAAGUGGGAGGAGGAAUUGAAUGAUGAGUUAUAUCGACAUGAGUGUGAGGGGGAGAAAGGAAACACUUGGCCAUGCUGCACUUACAGUUUUGGGGCUGGAUUACUUUGAAGAGAACCAUGAGGUCUGACAUUCUAUGGUUCUACAAAAGUCAACUCCGUAUUUUUCUUAACAGGUCUGUUUUCACAAGAGCCAAACCUCAGUUGGGUAUCCUAAGGAUGGCUGUGACAGAUCAGCCUUGGCUGUCCUAAGGAGUCUUACUGUUCAUCCCACACUGGCCCCGCAAAUCGGAUCAUCUGACCGUGACAUCCUGCUCUCGGUCCACUUCCCAAGCACUGUGCUGGGCACUAAAGGAAGAAAGAUGCUGUUUGAGGAGAAGUCUACCUCUUUUCACAUGGGGUUUUCUCUGCUGCCUGAGAAACCUGAGCCUUCCUGGAGAUCAUCAGUCCACUUCACCAGCCCCACCCACCAACGGGCAGGCCAAAGCGUGUCUCCUUAACACAGAGCCCUUUUUUCUCCUUGUGAGAAAACCAAACCUCCUCUGCUAUCUGAGAUGAAUAACCCCUGCUAAAAUAGAACCCACUGAGUCUUCCAGCCAAGGAGGCGGCUGGCAAAGAUGGGGGAGGUGAGCACAUUCUGAAGCAUAAAAUUUCCCAGGAUUAGGGCAUUUCAUUAGGAGACUUCUAGAUGUGUUUUCCUCUCUAAAGACUCAAAUGAAAGUCCAGAGAAGAAUUUACCAACUACAGCGAAACAUUCUUUACCACCAGGAGCUCUGUUGCCCAUUAAUUGUAAACAAGUUUGUGCGUUGAUCUAACAAAUGCCUAUUUUUU